rnacentral:tRNA from 1 species
CGGAACGUGGCGCAGCCCGGUAGCGCACUUGCUUGGGGUGCAAGGGGUCGCGGGUUCAAAUCCCGCCGUUCCGAC